GUCCACGCCUAACGAUGUCAACUGGUUGUUGGAAGGUUCCUUCUCAGUAACGUAGCUAACGCGUGAAGUUGACCGCCUGGGAGUACGGCCGCAAGGUUGAACUCAAGGAAUUGACGGGACCCGCACAAGCGGUGGAUGAUGUGGUUUAAUUCGACGCAACGCGAAACCUUACCUACCCUUGACAUGCCUGGAAUCCUGCAGAGAUGUGGGAGUGCUCGAAAGAGAACCAGGACACAGGUGCUGCAUGGCCGUCGU
rnacentral:rRNA from 1 species